rnacentral:rRNA from 1 species
GAUGAACGCUGGCGGCGUGCCUAAUACAUGCAAGUCGAGCGAACAGACGAGGAGCUUGCUCCUCUGACGUUAGCGGCGGACGGGUGAGAAACACGUGGAUAACCUCCCUAUAAGACUGGGAUAACUUCGGGAAACCGGCGCUUAUACCGGAUAAUCUAUUGAACCGCAUGGUUCAAUAGUGAAAGACGGUUUUGCUGUCACUUAUAGAUGGAUCCGCGCCGCAUUAGCUAGUUGGUAAGGUAACGGCUUACCAAGGCAACGAUGCGUAGCCGACCUGAGAGGGUGAUCGGCCACCCUGGAACUGAGACACGGUCCAGACUCCUACGGGAGGCAGCAGUAGGGAAUCUUCCGCAAUGGGCGAAAGCCUGACGGAGCAACGCCGCGUGAGUGAUGAAGGUCUUCGGAUCGUAAAACUCUGUUAUUAGGGAAGAACAAAUGUGUAAGUAACUAUGCACGUCUUGACGGUACCUAAUCAGAAAGCCACGGCUAACUACGUG